CUCUGGUUUCUCUUCAGAUCAUAUAAAUCUUUUGCCUUUUACUAAAGAUUUCCAUAGAGAGGAACAAUUCUGAGUCUUAUACCAAUUUUUUGAGGCUCUACAAAAAAAAAAGAU
rnacentral:snRNA from 1 species